GCUUUCUUCAGUUGUUCAUCAGUUGGUGGAUAUUUGGGUUGUUUCCAUGUAUUCCAUGUAUUGGUCAUUAUGAAUAAUGCUGCUAUGAAGAUUGUUGUACAAGUUUUUGUGAGGACAUAUAUUUUUAUUUUUCUGGGAUAUAUGCCUAGGAGUGAAAUUGUUGCAUUAUAGGAUGACUGUACAUUUAGCCUUUUGAGAAACUGCCACACUGUUUUCUAAAGUGGCUACACCAGCUGGGUGCAAUGGCUCACACCUGUAAUCCCAGCUACUCAAGAGGCUCAGCUAGAAGGAUGGCUUGAGCCCAUGAAUUCAAGACCAGCCUGGGCAAGAUGGUGAAACCCUGUCUUGAUUUUUUAAAAAUCCAAUUAAAAUGAAAAGAAAAGAAAUACCCAAACAAAAUGGUUACACGAUUUUAUGUUCCCACCAGUAAUGUAUGUGGGUUCCAAUUCCUCCACAUCUUCACUGACAUUUUUUUUUUCUAGAUAGGGGCUUGCUCUGUCUCUCAGGCUGCAGUGCAAUGAUGCCAUCACAGUUCACUGCAGCCUUGACCUCCCAGGCACAAGUGAUUCUCUCAUCUCAGCCUCCUGAGUAGCUGAAAAUUGCAGGUGUAUGCCACCAUGCCUGGCUAAUUUUUAUAUUUUUUUUGUAGUGAUGGGAUUUUACCAUGUUGCCCAGGCUGGUCUCAUACUCCUGGCCACAAGUGAUCUGCCCACCUCAGCCUCCCUAAGUUCUGGAAUUACAGGCUGCCACCAUGCCCGGCCUUCACCAACAUUUGCCAUUAUCUGUGUUUUUUUUUUUCCUUUAUACCUUAAAGCAGUAUAAGAACAAGUGUCUUCAAUUAUAGGAAACAGUAUAAUCCCAGGGCAUUGCGAGGCUAAGACAGGAAGAUGUCUUGAUGCCAGGAGUUUUUUUGUUGUUGUUGUUUUUGUUGUUGUUGUUUUUGACAGUCUCGCUCUGUCACCAAGGGUGAUGGGGUGCAGUGAUGGGGUCCACUGCAAACUCCGCCUCCCAGGUUCAAGUGAUUCUCCUGCCUCAGCCUCCCGAGUAGCUGAGACUACAGGUAUAUGCCACUACUGCCCAGCUAAUUUUUGUAUUUUUGGUAGAGUCAGAGUUUCACCAUGCUGGCCAGGCUGGUCUUGAAGUCCAGACUUCAGGUGAUUUGCCUGCCUCAGCCUCCCAAAGUGCUGGGAUUACAAGCAUGAGCCACCAUGCCCAGCCUGAUGCCAGGAGUUUUAGACUAGCCUGGGCAACCUAGCAAGACCUUAUCUCUACAGAAUAUUUAAAAAUUAGCCAAAUGUGGUGGUGCCUGUGUAUAGUCUCUCUCCCUCUCUCUUGUUUUUUUUCUUUCUAACUUUUUGUGACAUGGUCUGGCUCUGUCACCCAGGCUGAAGUGCAGUGGUGUGAUCAUGGCUCACUGCAGCCUGAAACUCCUGGGAUCAAGUGAUCAAUCCUCCCACCUCAUCUACCAAGUAGUAGGGACCACAGGUGUAUGCCACCCAGGGCUUGCUAUGUUGCCCAGGCUGGUCUUGAGCUCCUGGCCUCAAGCAAUCCUCUUACCUUGGCCCCCCACAGGGCAAGGAUUACAGGUAUGAGCCACCAUGCCUGGCCCCUACCCUGCCUAUUGAGAACCAAAAGAAGGAUCCAAAUUCUCCUUAUUCAACUCGAGCCAUUUCCUGAUAGCUUCAUCAGCAAGGAGCUGGUUAUUGGGCUGUCCAGGCCUCCCAAGCAGCACAGAAAUUAGGUGAAGGAGUUUUCCUGCUGCUCCACUCUGUAAGGAGUUGGAGGGUGAUGUUUACUCGUUUGCGGAGAGAGAUGCCUUGUAGGCACCUCAGGAUGGAGAGGACCCUGAUUCCAAUGUCCUUUUUUUCUUUAGAAACAGGACCUUGCCCUGUCACUCAGGAUGGAGUUCAGUGGUCGAGUCAUGGCUCAUUGUAGCCUCAAACUCCCAGGCUCAAGCAACCCUACCAUGUCAGCCUUCCCAGUAGCUGGGACUACAG
rnacentral:antisense_RNA from 1 species